CAAAAUCGCAGUUCAUUUUUCAUCCUCUGAAGUUGCUGCUCUCCUCUCACUUACUGCUUUGUUCUCUCUCAAAUCACAGCAACAAAUCACUCUCUUGUAGCCUUUUUUUUUGUUGGGAUUCAGGAAGACAUUCAAGGCUAGAGCUUGUUAUUUGUUACCGGACUUUAUGCUGUUGGUCUGGUUUAAUUCCGAUUGAAUCUUAAACCCUUAAUCCUUUCCCUUAACCAGCUUUUAGACCAGACUGAGUCUGAAAACCAUGGUUGUAAGUUGAGAAAUGCUGAGUGGUUUGUUCCUUCCAUCCUGUUAUUGGCUUCCCUUCAGCUUCUUGAAGAAGAAGAAAAAGCAUGGACCCAAAGAAGCCAGAGUCAAAAAAACACGCGUCAGCGGAAGCAGUAGACAUUAGCGGAAACCGUAAAUUUAUAUUUAUGGAAAUGUGAAUACUUUUGCUAACCAUAGCAAUUGAAGAAGCUUUUCCUUCUCUCUUAUAUUUUGCUCAAAAAAGUUUUGCUUCACCGUAAGCAGUUGGAAAUUUUUCUGUAGAGCCAAGUUUGGGAUGCGUUUGUGGGGGCAAGAAAGGGUGCAAUUGAAGGUCUUUGGAUUGUUUUCACUUUCACUUUUUCUAUUAGGCAUGAAACAGUGAAAUGGUAGCUGAAUGUAAAGUAAGGAAGACAAGCUGUUUGCCAAUAUGCUUGACCCAGAUUCUAGUGCCUGCUGUUAUGGGGGUUUUAGGCAUAUACGUGAUCACAGAGUUCUUGCAUGCAUUCUCAAAUCCUGUGCUGCACUCUCAUCCAUAAAAUGGGGCAAGGCCCUUCACAGCAGCAUUCUAAAAAUAGGCCACCUAUCCUCCCAUGAUGUGUUGAAAGUGCUGCUUAACAUGUAUGCAAAGUGUGGAGCUCUUAGUGAUUGCAAGAAACUAUUUGGUGAAGUAGGUUAUUGUGAUCAUGAUCCCGUCUUCUGGAAUAUUCUCUUAUCUGGGUUUGCUGGGUCUCGGAAUUAUGAUGCUGAGGCCUUAAGGUUGUUUAAUAGAAUGCAUGUUUCCAAUGAAGUAAAGCCUAGUUCUGUUACCGCGGCCAUUAUUCUUCCUGUUUGUGCUCGCAUGAGAGAUAUAUACGCAGGUAAGUGUGUGCACUGUUAUAUGAUUAAAGUUGGAAUGGAGACGCAUACACUUGUUGGAAACUCUCUGGUGUCAAUGUAUGCUAAAUGCGGGCUAGUUCACAAUGAUGCAUAUGUGGCUUUUGAUAGCAUUAAUGACAAAGAUGUCAUUUCAUGGAAUGCCAUCAUUGCUGGGUUUUCUGAGAAUAAGUUGAUGGACAAUGCCUUCAGAUUAUUUAUUUUGAUGCUGAAAAGUAAAAUAAAACCAAAUCAUGCAACUAUCGCUAAUAUUCUGCCCGUUUGUGCAUCUUUGGAUAGGAAUAUUGCCUACUGCUUUGGGAAAGAGAUACACUGUUAUGCCCUGCGGCACAAUGAGUUGUUAGCAGAUGUUUCUGUCUGUAAUGCUUUGGUGAGCUUCCACUUGAUAGUUGGACGGCUAAAGGAAGCAGAAUUAUUGUUUCAAAGGAUGGAAUUGAAAGAUUUGAUUUCAUGGAAUGCUAUCAUUUCAGGAUAUGCAUUCAAUGGUGAGUGGUCCAAAGCUUUGGAAUUAUUUCAAGAAUUACUUUCUUCAGAGAUGAGUGGGCCAGAUUCUGUAACCCUAGUCAGUAUUCUUCCUGCCUGUGCACAGCUUAAAAACUUGAAGGUGGGUAGAGAGAUCCAUAGUUAUGUUCUUCGACAUCCUUACUUAUGUCAGGAUACAUCUAUUGGGAAUGCUCUAGUUAGUUUUUAUGCAAAAUGUGACAGCAUAGAAGCAGCAUACCAUACAUUUUUAAUGAUUUCUAUUAAAGAUUUGAUAUCAUGGAAUUCUAUGCUUGAUGCCUUUGCAGAGAGUGGACACAAUAUUAAGUUUUUGGAAUUGUUACAUUGGAUGCUUAAGGAAGGAAUUAGACCUGAUUCCAUUACCAUCUUAACCAUACUUCAUUUUUGUGCUUACCUCUUAAAAGUAGAUAAGGUUAAAGAGACUCAUUGCUAUUCACUUAGGCAUGGCCUUUUGCUGUCUGAUGUUGAACCUACUACUAGAAAUGCAGUGCUUGACACAUAUGCCAAAUGUGGUAACAUUGAGUAUGCAUUUAAGGUUUUCGAGAAUUUAUCAAAUAACAGGAAUUUGGUUACUUUUAAUUCAAUGAUCUCAGGCUAUGUAAAAUGUGGAUUAUAUGAUGAUGCAUGUAUGAUUUUCAACAAGAUGACUGCCACUGACCUCACUACUUGGAAUCUAAUGAUUCGAGGGUAUGCUGAAAAUGAUUGUCCUGAUCAGGCUUUUAGUCUGUUCCAUCAGCUACAAGCUAGAGGAAUGAAGCCUGAUGCAGUUACCAUUAUGAGUCUCCUUCCAGCCUGUGCUCAAAUUGCUUCGGUACAUUUGGUGAAGCAGUGUCAUGGAUAUGUGGUUAGAGCUUGUUUUGAUGAUGUCCACUUAGAAGGAGCUCUUUUAGAUGUAUAUGCUAAAUGUGGCAGUAUAGGUUAUGCUUCUAAGCUUUUCCAAUCAAACGCAGGAAGAGAUUUAGUUAUAUUCACUGCCAUGGUUGGUGGGUAUGCCAUGCAUGGAAUGGGAGUGGAAGCACUUGGGAUUUUCUCUCAUAUGCUUGAGUUGGGAACAAAGCCAGAUCACAUUAUCAUCACAGCUGUUUUAUCUGCUUGCCGUCAUGCUGGCCUUGUGGAUGAAGGGUUGAAGAUAUUCUAUUCAAUAGAGAAGCUACAUGGAAUGAGUCCAACCAUGGAACAGUAUUCUUGCGUGGUGGAUCUCCUUGCACGGGGAGGCCGAAUUCAUGAUGCUUAUUCUUUUGUGACGGGAAUGCCCAUUGAAGCUAAUGCAAAUGUAUGGGGGACAUUGUUAGGUGCCUGCAGGAUGUAUCAUGAGGUGGAAUUAGGACGUGCUGUGGCAGAACACCUAUUUAAAAUUGAAGCAAAGAAUAUUGGGAACUAUGUACUUCUAUCAAAUCUAUUUGCAGCAGAUGCUAGAUGGGAUGAGGUUAUGGAAAUAAGAAAACUAAUGAAAAUGAGAUACCUAAAAAAGCCAGCUGGAUGCAGUUGGAUCGAAGUAGAGAGAAGAAAGAAUGUCUUUGUAGCUGGCGACUCUUCUCACCCUCAGAGGAGCAACAUUUACACUAUAUUAAGCACCUUGGAUUUGCAAAUCAAGGAGUCAUUUCAGUUAAACCAACAGCCACGCUCACAUCUUUCACAAUGCUGCAAGUGAAUUAUAAAUUUUGAAAGGCAUAAUUCUACUACUUUGUUGUGCACACAGACACCUCUUGGGUGACUAAUCACUAAAAUUCAACAAUGAAAUUUUUGCUGGUAAAAAAUUUUAAUGCAUAUUCUCCCAACUUCUGCCUGAAUCCAAGGGAUGGUUUACUCUGCAACUAUUUUGUUAUAUUUCUGACUUCAAAUGAAUAACUAGCUCAUUUAAUUGGACUUGGGGGCCAAAUUCUAUUACUUAUUGUCUUUUUUUUUUUUCCCCUAAGUUGUACUUGGCCUGUUAUUAAACUUAGAGCAGAGAAGAAUAAUCCUGAAGAAAGGCCAGUAUGCUGUAUAGGAAAGUUGGCCAGGUCUCAGUGGGGAUGUUAGUGAAUGCCUCAAAUUUGCACUUAAUCGCCUGUAUAUUUACUUCUUUGCAGGAAAAAAAAUGAAGUUCAAGCAGGCAGAGGUGCAAUGUCAAAAACUACAAAUCACGGUUUCUCACUUGAUUUGGGGGAUGUCAAUGGAAAUAAAGAAAGUAGUUCUGGUUCUGCAUAUCCUGGUCUAGAUCGAGGAGAUGGAUGCAAGUAAAAUCGCCUCUCUUUGAUUGCUUUAUCUUCUUCCUCACUAUUUAAAUCAGAAAUUGCUGAUUCUCCUUUGUUCUCUGGUUCUUGUAUUGACAGUUUGGAGAAAUUUGUAGAAGGGGUGCCCACAGGACUUGGGAGAAGAGAAGGAUUCCGUGAUGUGGUUGGGGAAGUCAAAGGUUUGAAGUUGACUGGGGGUUUAACUAUCUCAAGCUUGGGCCUUGUGUACUGCCUUCUUUCAUGGAGUUUAGAUGUUGGUCUCUUUAUGCCUGCAACCUUUGUAGCUGCUGUUCCCUGGGCUGGAUCACUCUCUGCUGGGCCUGUUAACCGCUGCACAACCUCUCGAAAAGCAUUUGUAUCUGUUUGCACAAAAGUGGUCAAAGGCUUACAACCAGCUGCACCUUGGUUUGCCUUCUUCUCCAUGGGUGUGUAUAUCAUGAACAACUUGUGUCAAUGAUCUGCAGCAAGUUCCAGUGUAUGAAACGGUAAACGGUCUCAUUUAAAGGACUCAGAUUUGGUUAGGCAGAAUUUAAGCAUCUAAAGAGUGAAUGGUAUUGCAUUGGAGUGGCAAAACAAUGUGUUUGUAUAGAUAUAUUAUUACUAAACUAAUUGAUAUGCUUGCUAGAAUCUUGACCUACCUAACUUAAUCCAGUCUAGAGCAGUCGUGUCUAAAUUGCAAGAGCUCAUAGAUCAUAGUCACAUUCAGCCUUCCAAAAAACUGAAAGGAGGUAGGAUUUUAUUAUAGUGAAGUGGGAUUUGGGUACACUAAGGUCGAGGUUUUUAUCCAAUUUAGAAAUUGUCUAUUAAGUGGUCAAUACAGGAUCUUGUGCAUAUCAGAGUUUGAAUGCUGGAUGCUAGCCAGAUCAUUAAGCCAACAUUUUUCUGAAGAUAAAAGGAACAGAGGUAAUUUUAGAAUGUCCUGUGCUGCUCUUGUUGAGAAGCUGCCCAUUCAAUAACACAGCUUAAAUUUGAGAUAUAAAUGCUGUGCAAAUUUUGCAUUUUUGAAAAAAAAAAAAAUUUGACUAGAUAAUAAAAUGUAUAAAUUAGUGGUGCUUUAGUUUUUCCUAUGUCUUUUACCUUCCUGAUCUUCCAGUCUGCAGACUGCUAACUUGAUAAUAGUAUGUUAAGAUCUCCAUUGGUACGAGGCGGGGUGGACAAUUUAUAGGAAAUGGGAGUGGCAUAUUUUUUUGAUAUAACUGAAAGAGUUGAUGGUUUUUAGACCUUAGCAGCAAGGAAGAAAACAGUGUAGAGAAAUAAAUAUGUACUUUGAAAACAUACACAAAUCUAUAUGCUCCCUAUCUUUCUAAUUCUAGCAGGGAGGUGGAUUAUGAAUUUAUGUUGAUAGGCUUCUUUUGAAAAUGGUGAUAUAUUGCUUUUUGCAUGAUGUGAUAGAGAUUAGAGACUCCUUCCUAUUUUUCUUUUGACUAUUGAAAAACUUGUGAUUCUUUCCUCUUCUUUUUCUCUAGCAGCGCACCUUCCUUCCUCCCCCAUUUUCAUUUAGAUAAAUGAAACAAUCGCCUAUCAUAACUCUUGCCCUGUCAGCCAUUGAUCUUAUACGUAGGGCACACUAGAGUCAACCACUGACAUGGUGCAGCUUGAGCAGACAAAAUUGCAUCAAGCAAUCUAGGAACGUGAAAUUGACAUCCAAAGGAAGGGGGAAAAAGAGGAAAUUCUACAAGAAAAGACCAUACCUGGUUCUCCACCACUGCAAGAAUUGAAAUUUCUGGCAAUUUGAGCAAGGAACUUGCAGAAAGAGAUGAAAGAAGAAAAGAAAUGUAGAAGCUGAGGAAAAAAGGGAUAGAAGCAGAAGGAGCUAAAUACAAUUGAGAAGAAGGUAAUGUGGUAUAACCUACAGUCACAAAGCCAGCGAUGACAAAGAAAGGGUAGCCUCAAAAAUUUGCAUUACCAACAUUUGUUAUCACUUGGUUUGUUGUGAAGGAUUUUUUAUGCAUCUAUGCAAGAAGUGGUUUUGCUCUUAUAGCUGCCAGAAGCGGUUUUGUUCUUAUAACGUUCCAAAUAUAGCAAUGAUUCUUCAAGGAGAGGGACAAAACUAAACAAGUGGUUUUGCAGUGACUGACAACUUAGUUAUGUUGUUG
rnacentral:misc_RNA from 1 species